GUAAGAUGCCAGAAACCAUUUGGGUGUCUACUGUUAUGGUCAGAAGAUUUUUCUGUGAAGUAAGAUGAGGGCUAUUAUUGUAACAGCUAAGUGGCAGUGUUAGGUGGCACAACAGAAGGAAUGGUGGACCUGGACUCAAGAAGACCUGAAUUCAAAUCUGAUCUCAGAUCCUAGCUGUAUGGCUUUGGCUAGACUGUAAUCUCCUCAGUGAUAGGAUCAUGUCCUCCCACUGUACCUGGCACAAUAAAGGGGGCAUCAGAACAACUGGAGCAUCAAAAAAGGCAUCUCAACGUAGCUGACAUUUGACCUGGAACUGGAAGGGAACUACUGGCCCAAGAAGCAGAGGUGAGGAGGAAGAGCAUUCUAUGCGUGAAGGACAGCCCCUGAAAAGACAUGCAAGGGCCAUCUACGCUCACUGCUUCCAUUUCUUUGAUUCCCACUCAUGUCUUCUGAAUUCCCCUAUUUCUCUCAAGAGCUUCACUAUUGUUGCAGUCACGACUUCUAAGGGUCAUGGAUAUGGUUGAUACCCACAUCAAUUACAGCAGCACCUUCUUUCACCAUAUCUGAGGAACAUUAUCCCCAUGAAAGUUGAAGAUUGUACAUAUGUCCAGGACAGACAAUAUGAAUGGACAGUUACCUGGACUAAGAUUUGAAAAUGAGGACAAAAAUCAAGCUAGAUUGCUUUGGGGACAUUUUGAAGCACCAUAGCUGACCCCAGAUUUCCCAAAACAGAAAAGAUCUAUCUUUUAAUCCAAAUAUUUUAAUGGUGUUGUAUGUCAGCAAGAUAUGGAAUUUUACUGAUUUUGAAAAACAGAAGAUAAGCAUCAUACAGAGGGACAAAGAAGAGGUAAUAGCAGAUGUGAGCAGGCCGCAACAUCUAAUCAAUGAGCGUCACUGCAAAAAAAAUAGAGAUCAAGGAUGUUAUCAAAGAAUUAUAUGGUAGAUUCUGAGGAGAAUAAGGGAAAACAGGUGGCUGGACGGACAAAGGACUUCACUGUACUCUGGUGAUAUUGAGAGAAAGAAAGGAUGACCUUCAGCAUGUGGAGGGAGGAUCCCUUAGAAGGAUUUUGAUAAGUCUACAUGUGGAUGAGUUGCAAUCUGCAUCACUGGAGGAACUCCCAAACUGAAGAGAUCACAAGUCCUUCUGAAUAUCUGCGUUCAUUAGAAAUAACACAGUAUAUAGAACUCCAUGGACCUCAUUUUAAAAUCUAACUCUUUUUCUUAAAGCGAAAUAUUGGAGAUUUAAGGUAUACAAUGAAUUUAUCCUUUCAAGAGCCACUGAGAAGAUGUCCCUUUUGAGAAGAUUUUAGGUAGUUUCUCAGCUUUCACAUGGAAUCAAAUGUCCAUAGCUGUCUAAAAGUUGAAUGAAUGGCACAGAAAGUCAGCAG